GACGAACGCUGGCGGCGUGCUUAACACAUGCAAGUCGAACGGAAAGGCCCUGCUUUUGUGGGGUGCUCGAGUGGCGAACGGGUGAGUAACACGUGAGUAACCUGCCCUUGACUUUGGGAUAACUUCAGGAAACUGGGGCUAAUACCGGAUAGGAGCUCCUGCUGCAUGGUGGGGGUUGGAAAGUUUCGGCGGUUGGGGAUGGACUCGCGGCUUAUGAGCUUGUUGGGGGGGUAGUGGCUUACCCAGGCUUUGACGGGUAGCCGGCCUGGGAGGGGGACCGGCGACAUUGGGACUGAGAUACGGCGCAGACUCCUACGGGAGGCAGCAGUGGAGAAUAUGGCACAAUGGGCGGAAGCCUGAGGCAGCAACGCCGGGUGCGGGAUGACGGCCUUCGGGUUGUAAACCGCUUUCGCCUGUGACGAAGCGUGAGUGACGGUAAUGGGUAAAGAAGCACCGGCUAACUACGUG
rnacentral:rRNA from 1 species